CUGAUUUUUGCAGCCCGGGUGUUUUCCAACGCCCCUGAGGUCUUGGGCCUAACGACAAACUGCAAUGCGUGAUUUUCCAUCGGAUGCUUUUUUGGAGAAGAAAACGAUGACUUUUAAUGCAUUUUAAAUUUUUUGUUGGAAAGCCGGCUAGCAUCUACCAGGUGAAAGAAACUGAGCAGGUUGCCGGUCCUUUCUAUUCCAAGAGACUAGACUCUCCCAGCUCAUAAGCACAUGGUUUCCUAAGUGUGUUUGCUGUCGCAGAAGUACAGCUUCCCGAGGGACAGGAAAUGUGUCGUUUCACUGAGUAUUCUUGAGUAAAGGAAAAGCACCUACAUUUACUGGAUACUACUAGUCCCUGGAUUUCUGGCAAUUACUAGACAUUGCCUGCCUUCCUCUAGCCUAGGACCUCAAGGUGGAGAUGAGGACCCAGUGGAGACCAUAGAAUAGAGGGCAAGGGAGGAGUUUUCUGGGUAGAGAGGGCUUCUCUUGAAGAGGUCACACCUAAACGGAGACUUCAGGGAUAUCAAGGAGGAAACCAUGUGAAGAAUGGAGAAGUAACCCUGCAGACAGGGGCACCAGCAGCCCUAAUACGGAGGCUUCACCCUGUCCUCAGAUACCUGAGGUCUUUGAGAGCUUUUGCUCUGAGAAGUGCCUAGAAUGAGCCAGGUGGGAACCUACCUCCUCUUUCGUAUGACCUGGAUUGCCAAGCAGCCCCAGUAAUGAAGAAUGCAAAGUCACAUGAACUUCUUUCCUUUAUAAAGUUGCUAUUUCUUAUUAAUAUUGAGAUGCUAAUUCAGUAUAUGAAAGUGUUCAUCUCUCCCAGGUCAACUGCAUCAGGACAAGGCUAAUCAGAAAAAUAGAGAAUGCCAGAGAGAAAACUAGGAACAAAUACUCCAUCACACAUUCGCCAGAAUGGCUGAAUUCUGAGCUACUUCCUAUAUAACGGAAAAGACAACCCAUCAGACUCAGUCUUCCAACUCAAGUGGAUCUAGAAACAAGGUGCUACCUGGGAUCAGAUCUCAGAGUUAACUGGGCAACAGGAAGGGGUUUGUCAGGCAGGGCCAGGAAAAUGUACCCGUGGUUUGGUGAUUUCUCUAAAUUAUCUACUCUAAGAAAAAGGGGCAGCCACUUUUCUUGUCUCUAUCCCAUGGUACUUCCCCUGCCCCAGUGAGAGUGUGAUGCCUCAUGGGGAGGGGACAUGUGGGGGCACUCCUAGGCUUCUCCCACUUCCGACUCCCCCUACAACUAUAUAUAUAUUAUAUUAUAUUACUAUUAUUAUUAUUGUGAGAAGUAUAAUUUUCAGCCCCCACUGGGAUAGUACGAGCAGAAAAGGGGAACUUUAAUGGGUAGAGAGCAUCUGUUUGGGCUAACAAACAAUUUGUGACAAUGGAUAAUGGUGAUGCUUGCAUAACAUUGUGAAUUUACUAAAUGACACUGAGUUAUAUAUUUGAAAUGGUUAAGGAUUAACUUUACGUUAUAUAAAUUUUACAUCUACAUGAAAAUUUAACCAAAAAGAAAUGUCUCAAAUGGUCCUCACUACAUAAGUUUAUUAUUAAAUCUUUACAUAUGGUUC